CGGGGUGUGGCGCAGUCCGGUUAGCGCGCUUGGUUUGGGACCAAGAAGUCGGAGGUUCGAAUCCUCUCACCCCGACCA
rnacentral:tRNA from 1 species